GGUUAAGCGACUAAGCGUACACGGUGGAUGCCCUGGCAGUCAGAGGCGAUGAAGGACGUGCUAAUCUGCGAAAAGCGUCGGUAAGGUGAUAUGAACCGUUAUAGCCGGCGAUGUCCGAAUGGGGAAACCCAGUGUGAUUCGUCACACUAUCGUUAACUGAAUACAUAGGUUAACGAGGCGAACCGGGGGAACUGAAACAUCUAAGUACCCCGAGGAAAAGAAAUCAACCGAGAUUCCCCCAGUAGCGGCGAGCGAACGGGGAGCAGCCCAGAGUCUGAAUCAGCUUGUGUGUUAGUGGAACGGUCUGGAAAGUCCGACGGUACAGGGUGAUAGUCCCGUACACCAAAAUGCACAGGCUGUGAACUCGAAGAGUAGGGCGGGACACGUGGUAUCCUGUCUGAAUAUGGGGGGACCAUCCUCCAAGGCUAAAUACUCCUGACUGACCGAUAGUGAACCAGUACCGUGAGGGAAAGGCGAAAAGAACCCCGGCGAGGGGAGUGAAAAAGAACCUGAAACCGUGUACGUACAAGCAGUGGGAGCACCUUCGGGUGUGACUGCGUACCUUUUGUAUAAUGGGUCAGCGACUUAUAUUCUGUAGCAAGGUUAACCGUAUAGGGGAGCCGCAGGGAAACCGAGUCUUAACUGGGCGUUAAGUUGCAGGGUAUAGACCCGAAACCCGGUGAUCUAGCCAUGGGCAGGUUGAAGGUUGGGUAACACUAACUGGAGGACCGAACCGACUAAUGUUGAAAAAUUAGCGGAUGACUUGUGGCUGGGGGUGAAAGGCCAAUCAAACCGGGAGAUAGCUGGUUCUCCCCGAAAGCUAUUUAGGUAGCGCCUCGUGAAUUCAUCUUCGGGGGUAGAGCACUGUUUCGGCUAGGGGGUCAUCCCGACUUACCAACCCGAUGCAAACUACGAAUACCGAAGAAUGUUAUCACGGGAGACACACGGCGGGUGCUAACGUCCGUCGUGAAGAGGGAAACAACCCAGACCGCCAGCUAAGGUCCCAAAGUCAUGGUUAAGUGGGAAACGAUGUGGGAAGGCACAGACAGCCAGGAUGUUGGCUUAGAAGCAGCCAUCAUUUAAAGAAAGCGUAAUAGCUCACUGGUCGAGUCGGCCUGCGCGGAAGAUGUAACGGGGCUAAACCAUGCACCGAAGCUGCGGCAGCGACACUAUGUGUUGUUGGGUAGGGGAGCGUUCUGUAAGCCUGCGAAGGUGUGCUGUGAGGCAUGCUGGAGGUAUCAGAAGUGCGAAUGCUGACAUAAGUAACGAUAAAGCGGGUGAAAAGCCCGCUCGCCGGAAGACCAAGGGUUCCUGUCCAACGUUAAUCGGGGCAGGGUGAGUCGACCCCUAAGGCGAGGCCGAAAGGCGUAGUCGAUGGGAAACAGGUUAAUAUUCCUGUACUUGGUGUUAGUGCGAUGGGGUACGGAGAAGGCUAUGUUAGCCGGGCGACGGUUGUCCCGGUUUAAGCAUGUAGGCUGGUUAUCCAGGCAAAUCCGGAUAAUCAAGGCUGAGGUGUGAUGACGAGGCACUACGGUGCUGAAGUAACAAAUGCCCUGCUUCCAGGAAAAGCCUCUAAGCAUCAGGUAACAUCAAAUCGUACCCCAAACCGACACAGGUGGUCAGGUAGAGAAUACCAAGGCGCUUGAGAGAACUCGGGUGAAGGAACUAGGCAAAAUGGUGCCGUAACUUCGGGAGAAGGCACGCUGGUGUGUAGGUGAAGUCCCUGCGGAUGGAGCUGAGACCAGUCGAAGAUACCAGCUGGCUGCAACUGUUUAUUAAAAACACAGCACUGUGCAAACACGAAAGUGGACGUAUACGGUGUGACGCCUGCCCGGUGCCGGAAGGUUAAUUGAUGGGGUUAUCCGUAAGGAGAAGCUCUUGAUCGAAGCCCCGGUAAACGGCGGCCGUAACUAUAACGGUCCUAAGGUAGCGAAAUUCCUUGUCGGGUAAGUUCCGACCUGCACGAAUGGCGUAAUGAUGGCCAGGCUGUCUCCACCCGAGACUCAGUGAAAUUGAACUCGCUGUGAAGAUGCAGUGUACCCGCGGCAAGACGGAAAGACCCCGUGAACCUUUACUAUAGCUUGACACUGAACAUUGAGCCUUGAUGUGUAGGAUAGGUGGGAGGCUUUGAAGCGUGGACGCCAGUCUGCGUGGAGCCAACCUUGAAAUACCACCCUUUAAUGUUUGAUGUUCUAACGUUGGCCCCUGACCGGGGUUGCGGACAGUGUCUGGUGGGUAGUUUGACUGGGGCGGUCUCCUCCCAAAGCGUAACGGAGGAGCACGAAGGUUAGCUAAUCCUGGUCGGACAUCAGGAGGUUAGUGCAAUGGCAUAAGCUAGCUUGACUGCGAGCGUGACGGCGCGAGCAGGUGCGAAAGCAGGUCAUAGUGAUCCGGUGGUUCUGAAUGGAAGGGCCAUCGCUCAACGGAUAAAAGGUACUCCGGGGAUAACAGGCUGAUACCGCCCAAGAGUUCAUAUCGACGGCGGUGUUUGGCACCUCGAUGUCGGCUCAUCACAUCCUGGGGCUGAAGUAGGUCCCAAGGGUAUGGCUGUUCGCCAUUUAAAGUGGUACGCGAGCUGGGUUUAGAACGUCGUGAGACAGUUCGGUCCCUAUCUGCCGUGGGCGCUGGAGAAUUGAGGGGGGCUGCUCCUAGUACGAGAGGACCGGAGUGGACGCAUCACUGGUGUUCGGGUUGUCAUGCCAAUGGCACUGCCCGGUAGCUAAAUGCGGAAGAGAUAAGUGCUGAAAGCAUCUAAGCACGAAACUUGCCCCGAGAUGAGUUCUCCCUGAGACUUUAAGUCUCCUGAAGGAACGUUAAAGACGAUGACGUUGAUAGGCCGGGUGUGUAAGCGCAGCGAUGCGUUGAGCUAACCGGUACUAAUGAACCGUGAGGCUUAACCUU
rnacentral:rRNA from 1 species